CUAAUUCCAUUCUUAAGCCUACAUUAAUCCUUCAAUCAAGCCCAUAAGUGUAGCUUAAGUUAGGGUUAUUUGAAGCUCAUUUGAAGCCCAAUUUCUCUCCCUUUUCACGGCAGCCACAAGGCUUGAUUACUGCUCAAAUUCAAUUCAAAGUAACCCCCAUAUUUACCCUCAUUAAGCCUAAUUAAACCCAACAAUUUACUGCCCCAAACCCUUUCACUUCCUCUUCUCAUUUCACGUACAAAGAAGUCAGUUUUCUCCACCCAAAAGAUGCAGCAAAUCACUCCUCUUCUCCCCAUCUUUUUCGUGGAAUUCAAGGUGGGAAUCAAGGGGAAAUCAAAGCUUAACUUGCUGCCAUAAUCGUUGCCAAAAUCGUGCUCUAUCUCUCCUCUAGAACAAGCAAAAACGAGGCAAGGGAACAAGACUGUUUGGGUGGGUGUUGUGCGUGUGAUUGCUACUGUUUGUGUGCGGUGUUGCUCUCCUUUUCUUUGGGUUUUGGUGGCCUAUAUAUCAAGGUUUCAUUUGUUUAUUUGAUAUCUGUGACGCUGGGUUGGGGAUUGAGAGUUUAGAACCUAACUUUUAGGCUUGUAUGCCUUUGUUGUUAGUUGACUGUUUAAUUAUUUUGAAUUUAGUCUAGUUUGGCCGAUAAGGGUUGUUCUGCCCUUGGCUUUUGAAUGUAAUUGAUUUGUCCAUGUUAAAGUUUAUUUGCUAUUUUCUUUUGUUCA